UACGUAGGGUGCAAGCGUUAAUCGGAAUUACUGGGCGUAAAGCGUGCGCAGGCGGUGAUGUAAGACAGAUGUGAAAUCCCCGGGCUCAACCUGGGAACUGCAUUUGUGACUGCAUCGCUGGAGUGCGGCAGAGGGGGGUGGAAUUCCACGUGUAGCAGUGAAAUGCGUAGAGAUGUGGAGGAACACCGAUGGCGAAGGCAGCCCCUGGGCCAAUACUGACGCUCAUGCACGAAAGCGUGGGAGCAACAGG
rnacentral:rRNA from 1 species